rnacentral:rRNA from 1 species
GUCUACGCCCAUGCCACCCUGAACAUGCCCGAUCCCAUCUGAUCUCAGAAGCUAAGCAAGAUUGGGCCUGGUUAGUACUUGGAUGGGAGACCACCUGGGAAGACCAGGUGCUGUAGGCG